rnacentral:rRNA from 1 species
AGUUGAUCCUGGCUCAGGAUGAACGCUGGCGGUGUGCCUUAAGCAUGCAAGUCGAGCGAAAAUAGAGCAAUCUGUUUUAGCGGCAGACGGGUGAGUAACACGUAGGAAUCUACCUCUUGGUGGGGAAUAGCCCUCCGAAAGGAGGGGUAAUACCGCAUUAUCCCCAUUUACUUCACUCAGGACAUAACGGGAACAGCACCUGACGGUGCUUGGCUUUGGCCUACAUAUCAUUUUCACUUAAUGUGAAAAUGAUUAGGCCGCAGGCAUAACUAAUAUGUUUUGAGUGAAGUGAAUGGGGCAAAGGCCGUAACUGGUCGCCGAGAGAGGAGCCUGCGUCCUAUCAGCUUGUUGGUGAGGUAAUGGCUCACCAAGGCAAUGACGGGUAGCCGGUGUGAGAGCACGAUCGGCCACAAGGUAACUGAGACACGGUGCCUACACCUACGGGUGGCAGCAACUGGGAAUCUUGCGCAAUGGACGAAAGUCUGACGCAGCGACACCGCGUGUGGGAUGAAGCAUUUCGGUGUGUAAACCACUGUGGCGGGGGAGAAAGAUCUGAUAGUAUUUCGCUAGAAAGCAUCUGCUAACUACGUGCCAGAAGCCUCGGCAAUGCGUAGAUGCAAGCGUUAUCCGGAUUUACUGGGCGUAAAGGGUUUCGCAGCGGAUUGUUAAGUUGUGUUUGAAAGCUGACGGCUCAACCGUUUAGUUGGACACAUACUGGCAAUCUUGAGGACAUCAGGGAGACUGGAAUUCUCGGUGGGAGGGGGUGAAAUCCGU